rnacentral:rRNA from 1 species
GAUGAACGCUGGCGGCGUGCCUAAUACAUGCGAGUCGAGCGAACAGACGAGGAGCUUGCUCCUCUGACGUUAGCGGCGGACGGGUGAGUAACACGUGGAUAACCUACCUAUAAGACUGGGAUAACUUCGGGAAACCGGAGCUAAUACCGGAUAAUAUAUUGAACCGCAUGGUUCAAUAGUGAAAGACGGUUUUGCUGUCACUUAUAGAUGGAUCCGCGCCGCAUUAGCUAGUUGGUAAGGUAACGGCUUACCAAGGCGACGAUGCGUAGCCGACCUGAGAGGGUGAUCGGCCACACUGGAGCUGAGACACGGCCCAGACUCCUACGGGAGGCAGCAGUAGGGAAUCGUCCGCAAUGGGCGAAAGCCUGACGGAGCAACGCCGCGUGAGUGAUGAAGGUCUUCGGAUCGUAAAACUCUGUUAUUAGGGAAGAACAAAUGUGUAAGUAACUAUGCACGUCUUGACGGUACCUAAUCAGAAAGCCACGGCUAACUACGUG